rnacentral:rRNA from 1 species
AGGCAGCAGUAGGGAAUCUUCGGCAAUGGGCGAAAGCCUGACCGAGCAACGCCGCGUGAGCGAUGAAGGCCUUCGGGUCGUAAAGCUCUGUUGUUAAGGAAGAACAAGUACGAGAGUAACUGCUCGUACCUUGACGGUACUUAACGAGAAAGCCACGGCUAACUACGUGCCAGCAGCCGCGGUAAUACGUAGGUGGCGAGCGUUAUCCGGAAUUAUUGGGCGUAAAGCGCGCGCAGGCGGUUUCUUAAGUCUGAUGUGAAAGCCCACGGCUCAACCGUGGAGGGUCAUUGGAAACUGGGAAACUUGAGUGCAGAAGAGGAAAGCGGAAUUCCACGUGUAGCGGUGAAAUGCGUAGAGAUGUGGAGGAACACCAGUGGCGAAGGCGGCUUUCUGGUCUGUAACUGACGCUGAGGCGCGAAAGCGUGAGGAGCAAACAGGAUUAGAUACCCUGGUAGUCCACGCCGUAAACGAUGAGUGCUAAGUGUUAGAGGGUUUCCGCCCUUUAGUGCUGAAGUUAACGCAUUAAGCACUCCGCCUGGGGAGUACGGUCGCAAGACUGAAACUCAAAGGAAUUGACGG